AAUAACCCCCUAAAAGUCUCACACACAUUAGUUCUAUUAGGACAAACCAUAACCCAUAUACAUAAGAAUAAUAAUCUUUGUAAUAGUUAUGUCCACCAUUAACAACACUGUACUAAAUAUAAAUUAAAAAACUGCUUAACAAGGAACACAGUGAGGAAUCUUAUGGGGAUGCCUCUCAACCUGAACAAACUAAAUGAGCAACAAACUAAAAAGAAAAGCUUGCAAUAUUUAUUCUUUUUGUCUAUUUACUGAGUUGAUCUAAAAUAAUGUUUUCCUUUACCAGGUCUGCAAUGAACAUGGAUUUGACAAACUAUGCCCGGACCCAACUGGCUGGAUAGACCUCGAACAAUGUGUUGGAUCAGGAGGAUUUGGAGUAAUCCAUAAGGCAUGGCAUUUUAAGGAAAAGAAAGAAGUGGCCAUAAAAGUGAUAAAAGA